rnacentral:rRNA from 1 species
GAUGAACGCUGGCGGCGUGCCUAAUACAUGCAAGUCGAGCGAACAGAUGAGGAGCUUGCUCCUCUGACGUUUGCCGCGGACGGGUGAGUAACACGUGGAUAACCUACCUAUAAGACUGGGAUAACUUCGGGAAACCGGAUCUUAUCCCGGAUAAUAUAUUGAACCGCAUGGUUCAAUAGUGAAAGACGGCUUUUCUGUCACUUAUAGAUGGAUCCCCGCCGCAUUAGCUAGUUGGUAAGGUAACGGCUUACCAAGGCAACGAUGCGUAGCCGACCUGAGAGGGUGAUCGGCCACACUGGAACUGAGACACGGUCCAGACUCCUACGGGAGGCAGCAGUAGGGAAUCUUCCGCAAUGGGCGAAAGCCUGACGGAGCAACGCCGCGUGAGUGAUGAAGGUCUUCGGAUCGUAAAACUCUGUUAUUAGGGAAGAACAAAUGUGUAAGUAACUAUGCACGUCUUGACGGCACCUAAUCAGAAAGCCACGGCUAACUACGUG